GAUCCUAGCUCAGGAUGAACGCUAGCGGCAGGCCUAACACAUGCAAGUCGAGGGGUAGAGUUCUUCGGGACUUGAGACCGGCGCACGGGUGCGUAACGCGUAUGCAAUCUACCUUAUACAGGGGAAUAGCCCAGAGAAUUUGGAUUAAUGCCCCAUAGUGUUAUCGAAUCGCAUGGUUUGAUAACUAAAGUUCCAACGGUAUAAGAUGAGCAUGCGUCCCAUUAGUUAGUUGGUAAGGUAGCGGCUUACCAAGACAAUGAUGGGUAGGGGUCCUGAGAGGGAGAUCCCCCACACUGGUACUGAGACACGGACCAGACUCCUACGGGAGGCAGCAGUGAGGAAUAUUGGUCAAUGGGCGCAAGCCUGAACCAGCCAUGCCGCGUGCAGGAAGACGGUCCUAUGGAUUGUAAACUGCUUUUAUACAGGAAGAAACCCUCCCACGUGUGGGAGCUUGACGGUACUGUAGGAAUAAGGAUCGGCUAACUCCGUG
rnacentral:rRNA from 1 species